GCUUAACACAUGCAAGUCGAACGAUGAAGCCUAGCUUGCUAGGUGGAUUAGUGGCGCACGGGUGAGUAAUAUAUAGAUAACGUGCCUCUUAGUCUGGGAUAGCCAUUGGAAACGAUGAUUAAUACUAGAUACUCCUUCUCAUUCUAAUAUGAGUCGGGAAAGUUUUUCGCUAAGAGGUCGGUCUAUAUCCCAUCAGUUAGUUGGUAAGGUAACGGCUUACCAAGGCAAUGACGGGUAGCGGGUUUGAGAGGAUGAUCCGCCACACUGGUACUGAGACACGGACCAGACUCCUACGGGAGGCAGCAGUGAGGAAUAUUGCACAAUGGGGGAAACCCUGAUGCAGCAACGCCGCGUGGAGGAUGACGCAUUUCGGUGUGUAAACUCCUUUUACGAGUCAAGAAAAUGACGGUAGCUCGUGAAUAAGCACCGGCUAACUCCGUGCCAGCAGCCGCGGUAAUACGGAGGGUGCAAGCGUUACUCGGAAUCACUGGGCGUAAAGGACACGUAGGCGGGAUGCCAAGUCUGAUGUGAAAUCCUAUGGCUUAACCAUAGAACUGCAUUGGAAACUGGUAACCUAGAGUAUGGGAGGGGGAGAUGGAAUUAGUGGUGUAGGGGUAAAAUCCGUAGAUAU
rnacentral:rRNA from 1 species